rnacentral:lncRNA from 1 species
GCGAAUCAGCAACAAACACAGAGUCGUCUUGAAACACUACCUCUUCUGGCGGUCGUACUUAUCGGCGCCCAUGUCCUCGCUUUGGUACUUUCUCUUAUUCUUUUUUAGUUAAUAGUAGUAAUAUGAUGAAAAUCUGUGUAGGGUAGAGUAUUUGAUACAUUGUGAUGAAAUUUGUGUAGGUAUACUGGAUUUAUCGACUAGCAAAUCAGAAGCAACACCCGAGGCUUAAAAAGCACUAGGAUUCAGUUUUUUUUUUCGUUUUCUGUCCUAUGUCACCCUCUUCCUGUUGAAAUUUUAUGUUUGGGGAUCUUUGAAUUGCUUGAGAUUUCAGUAAUUGAAAGUUGAAUGGGGAUAUUUGGUUGUAUGUUUUGUUAUAGUCUGGAUGUUUUGUGCUUCAACUUGUACUGGGUUGGAAUCCCUUUUUACAACAAUUUCACUUUUAUUGGUAGGCAACUUUAGUUAGUAAAAUUUCUUGAGAAUUUGGGUUCUUCAAAUUUUAAUAGGGUUAUUUAUUAUUAUUUUUUUUUGGUAGUAGGGUAAUUUCUUAACUAAGACAUGAAUAUGAACUUUCUGUUCUUUAUUUUUGAUUGUUAAAUGUAUUCACUGAAUAUCUAGCUGAAAGAGAGUGCUGUGAAGUUAUAUACAAAGCGACCAGAUUAUCACUGCUGCAAGUGUAAAGUGCCCAAAAUAUCUAUCAUGUCAUGCCUCCCUCUACCGUUCUCACCUUAAGUAUGCCUGCAGUCAAGGUUCGAAAAUGUGAUGUGUGUCUAACUCACACAUCACGCUCUUCCCUCUUACCUUGGAGAAUCUAUCACUCACGAUGAGUAAAAUGUGAUGAGAUAAUCUAACAUUAGCAUCUUCUUAUUUGAGAAGCUACA